UACGUAGGGUGCGAGCGUUAAUCGGAAUUACUGGGCGUAAAGCGUGCGCAGGCGGUAAUGCAAGUCAGAUGUGAAAUCCCCGGGCUUAACCUGGGAACUGCAUUUGUGACUGCACGGCUAGAGUGCGGCAGAGGGGGAUGGAAUUCCGCGUGUAGCAGUGAAAUGCGUAGAUAUGCGGAGGAACACCGAUGGCGAAGGCAAUCCCCUGGGCCUGCACUGACGCUCAUGCACGAAAGCGUGGGGAGCAAACAGG
rnacentral:rRNA from 1 species